rnacentral:tRNA from 1 species
CGCGGAGUGGAGCAGUUGGCAGCUCGUUGGGCUCAUAACCCAAAGGUCACAGGUUUCGAGUCCUGUCUCCGCAACCA